UACACUUAUGGAAACAAUUUU
rnacentral:piRNA from 1 species